GGGCGUUAAGUUGCAGGGUAUAGACCCGAAACCCGGUGAUCUAGCCAUGGGCAGGUUGAAGGUUGGGUAACACUAACUGGAGGACCGAACCGACUAAUGUUGAAAAAUUAGCGGAUGACCUGUGGCUGGGGGUGAAAGGCCAAUCAAACCGGGAGAUAGCUGGUUCUCCCCGAAAGCUAUUUAGGUAGCGCCUCGUGAAUUCAUCUCCGGGGGUAGAGCACUGUUUCGGCUAGGGGGCCAUCCCGGCUUACCAACCCGAUGCAAACUGCGAAUACCGGAGAAUGUUAUCACGGGAGACACACGGCGGGUGCUAACGUCCGUCGUGAAGAGGGAAACAACCCAGACCGCCAGCUAAGGUCCCAAAGUCAUGGUUAAGUGGGAAACGAUGUGGGAAGGCCCAGACAGCCAGGAUGUUGGCUUAGAAGCAGCCAUCAUUUAAAGAAAGCGUAAUAGCUCACUGGUCGAGUCGGCCUGCGCGGAAGAUGUAACGGGGCUAAACCAUGCACCGAAGCUGCGGCAGCGACGCUUAUGCGUUGUUGGGUAGGGGAGCGUUCUGUAAGCCUG
rnacentral:rRNA from 1 species